rnacentral:ncRNA from 1 species
ACAGCCCAGCUUGAGAAUCGGGCGGCUGUGCCGUCCGAAUUGUAGUCUGGAGACGCGUCCUCAGCGACGGACCGGGCCCAAGCCGCCUGGAAAGGGGCGCCUGGGAGGGUGAGAGCCCCGUCCGGCCCGGACCCUGUCGCCCCACGAGGCGCGGUCAACGAGUCGGG